rnacentral:rRNA from 1 species
AUUGAACGCUGGCGGCAGGCCUAACACAUGCAAGUCGAGCGAGCGGCGGACGGGUGAGUAAUGUCUGGGAAACUGCCGGAUGGGGGGGGAUAACUACUGGAAACGGUAGCUAAUACCGCAUACCAUCAGAUGUGCCCACAGGGGAUUAGCUAGUAGGUGGGGUAACGGCUCACCUAGGCGACGAUCCCUAGAUGGUCUGCGAGGAUGACCAGCCACACUGGAACUGUGACACGGUCCAGACGCCUACGGGAGGCAGCAGUGGGGAAUAUUGCACAAUGGGCGCAAGCCUGAUGCAGCCAUGCCGCGUGUGUGAAGAAGGCCUUCGGGUUGUAAAGCACUUUCAGCGAGGAGGCGUUACCCGCAGAAGAAGCACCGGCUAACUCCGUGCCAGCAGCCGCGGUAAUUC